rnacentral:rRNA from 1 species
GAUGAACGCUGGCGGUAUGCUUAACACAUGCAAGUCGAACGGGCACUUUCGGGUGUUAGUGGCGGACGGGUGAGUAACGCGUGAGAAUCUAGCUCUAGGUCUGGGACAACCAUUGGAAACGAUGGCUAAUACUGGAUGUGCCGAGAGGUGAAAGGCUUGCUGCCUAGAGAUGAGCUUGCGUCAGAUUAGCUAGUAGGUGUGGUAAGAGCGCACCUAGGCGACGAUCUGUAGCUGGUCUGAGAGGACGAUCAGCCACACUGGAACUGAGACACGGUCCAGACUCCUACGGGAGGCAGCAGUGGGGAAUUUUCCGCAAUGGGCGAAAGCCUGACGGAGCAAUACCGCGUGAGGGAGGAAGGCUCUUGGGUUGUAAACCUCUUUUCUCAAGGAAGAUAAUGACGGUACUUGAGGAAUAAGCAUCGGCUAACUCCGUGCCAGCAGCCGCGGUAAUACGGAGGAUGCAAGCGUUAUCCGGAAUGAUUGGGCGUAAAGCGUCCGCAGGUGGUUUUGAAAGUCUGUUGUUAAAGCGUGAGGCUUAACCUCAUAAGGGCAAUGGAAACUACGAGACUAGAGUACGUUCGGGGCAAGGGGAAUUCCCAGUGUAGCGGUGAAAUGCGUAGAGAUUGGGAAGAACACCGGUGGCGAAAGCGCCUUGCUAGGCCGUAACUGACACUGAGGGACGAAAGCUAGGGGAGCGAAUGGGAUUAGAUACCCCAGUAGUCCUAGCCGUAAACGAUGGAUACUAGGCGUUGUCUG